GCAGCGCGGGGCAACCUGGCGGCGAGUGGCGAACGGGUGAGUAAUAUAUCGGAACGUGCCCUGGAGUGGGGGAUAACGCAGCGAAAGUUGCGCUAAUACCGCAUACGAUCUAAGGAUGAAAGCGGGGGAUUCGCAAGAACCUCGUGCUCCUGGAGCGGCCGAUAUCUGAUUAGCUAGUUGGUGGGGUAAAGGCCUACCAAGGCAUCGAUCAGUAGCUGGUCUGAGAGGACGACCAGCCACACUGGAACUGAGACACGGUCCAGACUCCUACGGGAGGCAGCAGUGGGGAAUUUUGGACAAUGGGCGAAAGCCUGAUCCAGCAAUGCCGCGUGAGUGAAGAAGGCCUUCGGGUUGUAAAGCUCUUUUGUCAGGGGAGAAACGGUGAAGGCUAAUAUCCUUUGCUAAUGACGGUACCUGAAGAAUAAGCACCGGCUAACUACGUGCCAGCAGCCGCGGUAAUACGUAGGGUGCAAGCGUUAAUCGGAAUUACUGGGCGUAAAGCGUGCGCAGGCGGUUUUGUAAGUCUGUCGUGAAAUCCCCGGGCUCAACCUGGGAAUUGCGAUGGAGACUGCAAGGCUAGAAUCUGGCAGAGGGGGGUAGAAUUCCACGUGUAGCAGUGAAAUGCGUAGAGAUGUGGAGGAACACCGAUGGCGAAGGCAGCCCCCUGGGUCAAGAUUGACGCUCAUGCACGAAAGCGUGGGGAGCAAACAGGAUUAGAUACCCUGGUAGUCCACGCCCUAAACGAUGUCUACUAGUUGUCGGGUUUUAAUUAACUUGGUAACGCAGCUAACGCGUGAAGUANACCGCCUGGGGAGUACGGUCGCAAGAUUAAAACUCAAAGGAAUUGACGGGGACCCGCACAAGCGGUGGAUGAUGUGGAUUAAUUCGAUGCAACGCGAAAAACCUUACCUACCCUUGACAUGUACGGAAGCCACGAGAGAUCG
rnacentral:rRNA from 1 species